AUUUAACUAAUCAGAAUUUUUACUUUAAAAUAUCUAUCAAAAUUUUAUUUUUAUAAAAAAUAA
rnacentral:tRNA from 1 species